GGGAGAUAGCUGGUUCUCCCCGAAAGCUAUUUAGGUAGCGCCUCGUGAAUUCAUCUCCGGGGGUAGAGCACUGUUUCGGCUAGGGGGCCAUCCCGGCUUACCAACCCGAUGCAAACUGCGAAUACCGGAGAAUGUUAUCACGGGAGACACACGGCGGGUGCUAACGUCCGUCGUGAAGAGGGAAACAACCCAGACCGCCAGCUAAGGUCCCAAAGUCAUGGUUAAGUGGGAAACGAUGUGGGAAGGCCCAGACAGCCAGGAUGUUGGCUUAGAAGCAGCCAUCAUUUAAAGAAAGCGUAAUAGCUCACUGGUCGAGUCGGCCUGCGCGGAAGAUGUAACGGGGCUAAACCAUGCACCGAAGCUGCGGCAGCGACACUCAGGUGUUGUUGGGUAGGGGAGCGUUCUGUAAGCCUGCGAAGGUGGCCUGUGAGGGUUGCUGGAGGUAUCAGAAGUGCGAAUGCUGACAUAAGUAACGAUAAAGCGGGUGAAAAGCCCGCUCGCCGGAAGACCAAGGGUUCCUGUCCAACGUUAAUCGGGGCAGGGUGAGUCGACCCCUAAGGCGAGGCCGAAAGGCGUAGUCGAUGGGAAACGGGUUAAUAUUCCCGUACUUGGUGUUACUGCGAAGGGGGGACGGAGAAGGCUAUGUUGGCCGGGCGACGGUUGUCCCGGUUUAAGCGUGUAGGUGUGUGUUCCAGGUAAAUCCGGUU
rnacentral:rRNA from 1 species